rnacentral:rRNA from 1 species
CAAUGGCUGUUGCCAGCUCGUGUCGUGAGAUGUUGGGUUAAGUCCCGCAACGAGCGCAACCCUUUUCCUUAUUUGCCAGCGGGUUAAGCCGGGAACUUUAAGGAUACUGCCAGUGACAAACUGGAGGAAGGCGGGGACGACGUCAAGUCAUCAUGGCCCUUACGACCAGGGCUACACACGUGCUACAAUGGUCGGUACAAAGGGUUGCUACCUAGCGAUAGGAUGCUAAUCUCAAAAAGCCGAUCGUAGUCCGGAUUGGAGUCUGCAACUCGACUCCAUGAAGUCGGAAUCGCUAGUAAUCGCGGAUCAGAAUGCCGCGGUGAAUACGUUCCCGGGCCUUGUACACACCGCCCGUCACACCAUGGGAAUUUGUUGCACCAGAAGUAGGUAGUCUAACCGCAAGGAGGACGCUACUCACGGUUCCUA